rnacentral:rRNA from 1 species
CACGUAGGGCGCGAGCGUUGUCCGGAUUUAUUGGGCGUAAAGAGCUCGUAGGCGGUUUGGCAAGUCGGGUGUGAAAACUCCGGCUCAACUCGGAGACGCCACUCGAUACUGCUAUGACUCGAGUCCGGUAGGGGAGUGCGGAAUUCCUGGUGUAGCGGUGAAAUGCGCAGAUAUCAGGAGGAACACCGGUGGCGAAGGCGGGUCUCUGGGCCGAUACUGACGCUGAGGAGCGAAAGCGUGGGGAGCGAACAGG